rnacentral:lncRNA from 1 species
GGGAACAUUAACCUGUAACUUUGUAAACAUCUCCAUGAAUUUUUUAAAUUGACCCUCUUCCUUGUCUUUCUUUUUCUUCAAAUGGGGGUAUGGCAAUUUGACAUAAGGGGGAAUGACUUGCUCCUUACCGCAGUCUUCAAGAAUUUGUUUCUUGGUUUUUCUAGGAAUAGAACCUUCAUCAAUCAAUUUUUCUUUCUUUUCAACUUCUCGCUCACUAGUUCCCUUAACCCCAUUCUCACUUUUUUCUUCCUCAACUCUC